rnacentral:rRNA from 1 species
AGCGAACGCUGGCGGCAGGCUUAACACAUGCAAGUCGAGCGGACCUUUCGGGGUCAGCGGCGGACGGGUGAGUAACGCGUGGGAACGUGCCUUCCGGUUCGGAAUAACCCUGGGAAACUAGGGCUAAUACCGGAUACGCCCUUAUGGGGAAAGGUUUACUGACGGAAGAUCGGCCCGCGUCUGAUUAGCUAGUUGGUGGGGUAACGGCCUACCAAGGCGACGAUCAGUAGCUGGUCAGAGAGGAUGAUCAGCCACACUGGGACUGAGACACGGCCCAGAAUACUACGGGAGGGAGCAGUGGGGAAUAUUGGACAAUGGGCGGAAGCCUGAUCCAGCCAUGCCGCGUGAGUGCUGAAGGUCUUAGGGUUGUAAAGCUCUUUUAUCCGGGACGAUAAUGACGGUACCGGAGGAAUAAGCCCCGGCUAACUUCGUG